rnacentral:rRNA from 1 species
AUUGAACGCUGGCGGCAGGCCUAAUACAUGCAAGUCGAGCGAGCGGCGGACGGGUGAGUAAUGUCUGGGAAACUGCCUGAUGGAGGGGGAUAACUACUGGAAACGGUAGCUAAUACCGCAUAUCAUGAGAUGUGCCCAGUUGGGAUUAGCUAGUAGGUGGGGUAACGGCGUAACUAGGGCACGAUCCCUAGCUGGUCUGAGAGGACGACCAGGCAAAAUGGAACCUGGACACGGGCCAGAAUCCUACGGGGGGCAGCAGGUGGGAAUAUUGGCCAAUUGGGGGAAACCUUAUCCAGCCAUGCCGGGUGGGGGAAGAAAGCCUUACGGUUGGAAAGCACCUGAGGCAGGGAGACGUUACUCGCAGAAAAAGCCCCGGCUAACUCCGUGCCAGCAGCCGCGGUAAUAC